GUAGGCGUAGUUUAAAUAAAGCGCUAGAUUGUGAUUCUAGAAAUAAGAGUUAAACCCUCUUCACCCACC
rnacentral:tRNA from 1 species